rnacentral:tRNA from 1 species
GGAGAGAUGGCUGAGUGGUUGAUAGCUCC